rnacentral:misc_RNA from 1 species
AGAAACUUAGCAUUAGAGAGAGAAAGUAACGAAAAGUUAACAACAAAAAAAAACUCACAAUAAUGGUGGCGGAGAGUUGGAGCACGACGGCGAAACGCUGCGACGCCUGCAAAGCGACGCCGUCCACGGUGUUCUGCAAGUCGGACAUGGCUUUUCUCUGCUUAACUUGUGACUCCAAAAUCCACGCUGCAAACAAACUCGCGUCGAGGCACGCGCGCGUCUGGGUCUGCGAAGUGUGCGAGCACGCGCCGGCGAGCGUCACGUGUAAGGCCGACGCCGCCGCACUCUGCACCACCUGCGACCAAGACAUCCACUCCGCCAAUCCCUUAGCUCGCCGGCACGAACGGAUUCCCGUAGUUCCAUUCUACGACUCCGCCUCCGCCAGCUCUUCUCGUGGUGCUGCUGCGGACGGAAAUGAUGAUCCGCAGCAGCACGACGAUGACACGGAAGAAGAAGAAGCGGAGGCGGAGUCGUGGCUACUUCAAGCGCCUAGCACUAAUAAUAAUACUCAAGGAAUUGAGUAUAAAUCUGUGGAGUAUUUGUUCAGCGAUGUGGAUCCGUACGUGGAAAUGGAUAUAAUUGCAGAUCAGAAACCUAGUAAUGAUAUAGCUCAGCUUCAUAAUCAAGAGGAGUAUAAAGAAGAUUGUGUUGUACCUCACGUACAAAACAACAAGAAUGAUAUCCAAUUACAAGGCCCAGUUGUUGAUGGAUACCCAACUUAUGAAAUUGAUUUUUCUGGUGGAUCUAAACCUUUCAUGUACAACUUCACUUCUCAAUCCAUUAGCCAAAGUGUCUCUUCAUCAUCAAUGGAAGUUGGAGUUGUGCCUGAUCAUAACACGAUGACAGAUGUAUCAAACACAUUAGUUAGAAACUCCGCCAUUGACGGACUACCUAACCCAGUUUCGAGUUUAGACAGAAAAGCAAGAGUAUUAAGGUAUAGAGAGAAGAGAAAGAAUAGAAAAUUCGAGAAGACUAUACGAUAUGCUUCUAGAAAGGCCUAUGCUGAGACUCGACCUCGAAUCAAAGGGAGAUUUGCGAAGCGUACGGAGAACGAAGUGGGAGACUCACUCGUUGCCUCCGACGCUUCGUACGGCGUCGUUCCAUCGUUUUGAUAAUUUUAAGUUGUUGUUGUUGGUAAUUUAGGAGUAGCUAGUAAUAUGUUAUGUGUACAUAUUUUUUUUUUUU